CCUACGGGGAGGCUGCAGUCGAGAAUCAUUCACAAUGGGGGAAACCCUGAUGGUGCGACGCCGCGUGGGGGAAUGAAGGUCUUCGGAUUGUAAACCCCUGUCAUGUGGGAGCAAAUUAAAAAGAUAGUACCACAAGAGGAAGAGACGGCUAACUCUGUGCCAGCAGCCGCGGUAAUACAAAGGUCUCAAGCGUUGUUCGGAAUCACUGGGCGUAAAGCGUGCGUAGGCUGUUUCGUAAGUCGUGUGUGAAAGGCGCGGGCUCAACCCGCGGACGGCACAUGAUACUGCGAGACGAGAGGAAUGGAGGGGGAACCGGAAUGCUCGGUGUAGCAGUGAAAUGCGUAGAUAUCGAGAGGAACACUCGUGGCGAAGGCGGGUUCCUGGACAUUAACUGACGCUGAGGCACGAAGGCCAGGGGAGCGAAAGGGAUUAGAUACCCGGGUAGUC
rnacentral:rRNA from 1 species